GACAGUUGAAAUGGUUCUUGCUGAUACAGCUGUAAGUAUAAGAACUAUCAUUUUGAAACAUAUUAAACAUUUAUCAAUCAUCAAUAUCACUGGAUGAUUAACAUGAGUUCUUUUUAUCUGUUGCCAGGGUACUUUGAUUCAUGCUACUGUUAAGAAGCCACAAGUGAGCAAACUGCAAAGGUUCAUAGUUUCUGGAGAAUGGCGUAUUAUCGAGCAUUUUACGCUAACCAAAUCAACAGGAAAGUAUCGAGCCACAAAACAUGGUUUCAAAAUGUCCAUGAUGGAAAAAACUGUGAUAAGUCGCACUCCUUCUGUUUCUGAUGACAUUUAUGUGGAUCUGGCAAACUUUCCAGAUAUUUUGAAUGAAGCAGGAUUGAGUGAAAACAUCUUAAUUGAUGUACUUGGACAGGUAGUUAGUUUCAAUGAAAUGAAAAUUCAUGAUGUUAAUAACAAGAUCACAAAGAGACUUGAGUGUGAACUCAGAGACACAAAGUAAGUUUUAUCAUGAAUCUACCUUUUUUAUUUAAUCUUACAUACAUCUAAACUUAAAACUUUCUCAAUAUUUUUGUUGUAUUGUAGUGAUGAAAGGCUGAAAUGCACUCUUUGGGGGAGAUUUGCUGAGGCAAUGUAUAAUGCAUGUCAAAAUGCAGGGACUGAGAGAGUGAUAUGCUUACUUCGGCUUGCAAAGAUCAACUCAUUUAAAGGUAUAGAAUGUUGUUACUGGGAAUAAUGGAUGAUUUUGAAAUCGAAAUGAAAUCAGAACAUAUGUGAAAAUACUAAUAUCAUGCUGUUUGUAGGUGAAAGAGCUGUUUUAAAUUCAUUUGAUAUGUCUCUAUUGGAAAUCAAUGCUACCUACCCUGCUGUUCUUGAUUUUGUGGCCAAGUAAGAUAUGUUUAAACAUCACAUUUCUUUUACUAAUAUAGAUAACUGUUAAUCCUUUUUAUAAUAUCUAAAGUUGAUUUCGUGUUCUUUUAUUUGUUAAAAAUAGUUUACCACCGGAUGUUAUUCCACUGACUAUCGAAGACUCGAAGGCAAAACAAGUGAAUGCAGAACAGAGAAAAAAGGAUUACUAUGAUCGUUUUCCAAGGAAAACCAUCUCUGCACUCUUUUGUUUUGCUGAGGUAUUUGUAUUGGAUAAUAUUAUUUUUUCUAGAAACUAUUAAAUUCUCUGUCUAUACUACUAAUUAUCUAUUUUUUUGUAAUAGACUGGAAAGUGCAACAUAAUUUGUACCAUAAUGAAUAUCGACACAGACUAUUCUUGGUAUUUCUUUAGUUGCCUCAAGUGUAGCAAAACUGCCUAUAAGAUUCCAAAGGUUGAAAAUGAGAUUGUCAAGAAAGGCAAGAAAGAAAUGUUUUGGUGUCCAACAUGUAAGGAAGACACUCCUAAGGUGAUACCAAGGUAUCUUUUAAACGUUGGAGUGAUGGAUAGCACUGGAGACACUAAAUGUCUUAUCUUUGAUAAAAGUGCACAAGAGAUAAUCGGUGUGUCUGCAGAGGAUUUGCUGGAAGGGAAGUGGGAUGAGGUAAACAAAUUUAUUGUUAAUAUGUAUAUAGACCAUAUUAUUCAAAUAUCUUAUAUACUUUUUUCAAUCUAUCAUAACAGAUUCAGGAUCCUACAAACGUGCCUCAGCCAAUCAGAGAUUUGGUUGGAAAGACUUUCCAGUUUCUGGUGACUGUUGGAAAGGAAAACAUCAAUGAAACUGAUGAUACCUACAAGGUUUCAACCGUUUGGCUGGGUAAUGAAUCUGACAAUCUAGAUACUAUUGAAGAUUCUGACCAGCAGACUGACCAACGUAAUGACCUCUCUAUUGAUCAGGUAAUGUUAGUAGGUGCAACCAAAAUCAAUCUAUCAAAAAGUUAUUCAAGUUUAUCACUAAAGGGCUGGAUCGUGUUUCAAUUAAAUAGUGAGUACCAUCAGUUAUACUCAAGUCAGGGAAUAAAUUAUGGAUACUCAUAACUAUAUAAUUUAAUGACUUUGUUAUAUGAAAGAUUAUCUAUUAUAUAUUG